UACGUAGGGACCAAGCGUUGUUCGGAUUUACUGGGCGUAAAGGGCGCGUAGGCGGCGAAGCAAGUCAGUUGUGAAAUCUCCGAGCUUAACUCGGAACGGUCAACUGAUACUGUUUUGCUAGAGUACAGAAGGGGCAUCCGGAAUUCUUGGUGUAGCGGUGAAAUGCGUAGAUAUCAAGAGGAACACCUGAGGUGAAGACGGGUUGCUGGGCUGAUACUGACGCUGAGGCGCGAAAGCUAGGGUAGCAAACGGG
rnacentral:rRNA from 1 species